rnacentral:rRNA from 1 species
GACGAACGCUGGCGGCGUGCUUAACACAUGCAAGUCGAACGGAAAGGCCCUGCUUUUGUGGGGUGCUCGAGUGGCGAACGGGUGAGUAACACGUGAGUAACCUGCCCUUGACUUUGGGAUAACUUCAGGAAACUGGGGCUAAUACCGGAUAGGAGCUCCUGCUGCAUGGUGGGGGUUGGAAGUUUCGGCGGUUGGGGAUGGACUUGCGGCUUAUCAGCUUGGUUGUGGGGGAGUGGCUUACCAAGGCUUUGACGGGUAGCCGGCCUGAGAGGGUGACCGGCCACAUUGGGACUGAGAUACGGCCCAGACUCCUACGGGAGGCAGCAGUGGGGAAUAUUGCACAAUGGGCGGAAGCCUGAUGCAGCAACGCCGCGUGCGGGAUGACGGCCUUCGGGUUGUAAACCGCUUUCGCCUGUGACGAAGCGUGAGUGACGGUAAUGGGUAAAGAAGCACCGGCUAACUACGUG